UGCCCCAAGCGUUAUCCGGAAUCAUUGGGCGUAAAGGGUGUGUAGGUGGUUGUGUUAGUCUUCUGUUAAAUUCUUCGGCUUAACCGGGGGCAUGCGGAGGAAACGGCACAACUAGAGGAUGCGAGAGGUGAAUGGAACUCAUGGAGUAGGGGUGAAAUCCGUUGAUAUCAUGGGGAACACCAAAUGCGAAGGCAAUUCACUGGCGCACUCCUGACACUGAAACACGAAAGCGUAGGUAGCGAAUGGG
rnacentral:rRNA from 1 species